UACCAGCACCCCGAGUGGUCGGGACGUUUAUUGGGCCUAAAGCAUCCGUAGCCGGUUCUACAAGUCUUCCGUUAAAUCCACCUGCCUAACAGAUGGGCUGCGGAAGAUACUAUGGAGCUAGGAGGCGGGAGAGGCAAGCGGUACUCGAUGGGUAGGGGUAAAAUCCAUUGAUCCAUUGAAGACCACCAGUGGCGAAGGCGGCUUGCCAGAACGCGCUCGACGGUGAGGGAUGAAAGCUGGGGGAGCAAACCGG
rnacentral:rRNA from 1 species